CCUACGGGAGGCAGCAGUGGGGAAUUUUGGACAAUGGGCGCAAGCCUGAUCCAGCAAUGCCGCGUGAGUGAAGAAGGCCUUCGGGUUGUAAAGCUCUUUUGUCAGGGAAGAAACGGUAGGAGCUAAUAUCUCUUGCUAAUGACGGUACCUGAAGAAUAAGCACCGGCUAACUACGUGCCAGCAGCCGCGGUAAUACGUAGGGUGCAAGCGUUAAUCGGAAUUACUGGGCGUAAAGCGUGCGCAGGCGGUUUUUGAAGUCUGUCGUGAAAGCCCCGGGCUCAACCUGGGAAUUGCGAUGGAGACUGCAAGGCUUGAAUCUGGCAGAGGGGGGUUAGAAUUCCACGUGUAGCAGUGAAAUGCGUAGAGAUGUGGAGGAACACCGAUGGCGAAGGCAGCCCCCUGGGUCAAGAUUGACGCUCAUGCACGAAAGCGUUGGGGAGCAAACAGGAUUAGGAUACCCGUGGUAAGUCCACGGCCCUUAAACGGAUGUCUACUAGUUGUUACGGGUUUUAAUUAACGUUGGUAACCGCAGCUAACGCGUGAAGUACGACCGCGUGGGGAAGUCCGGUCGCAAGAUUAAAACCGUUAAGUGAAGUUGACCGGNUGAGACGUGACGACGGACGACGACGAGGGAGGAGG
rnacentral:rRNA from 1 species